GAUGAACGCUGGCGGCGUGCCUAAUACAUGCAAGUCGAGCGAACAGACGAGGAGCUUGCUCCUCCGACGUUAGCGGCGGACGGGUGAGUAACACGUGGAUAACCUACCUAUAAGACUGGGAUAACUUCGGGAAACCGGGGCUAAUACCGGAUAAUAUAUUGAACCGCAUGGUUCAAUAGUGAAAGACGGUUUUGCUGUCACUUAUAGAUGGAUCCGCGCCGCAUUAGCUAGUUGGUAAGGUAACGGCUUACCAAGGCAACGAUGCGUAGCCGACCUGAGAGGGUGAUCGGCCACACUGGAACUGAGACACGGUCCCGACUCCUACGGGAGGCAGCGGUAGGGAAUCUUCCGCAAUGGGCGAAAGCCUGACGGAGCAACGCCGCGUGAGUGAUGAAGGUCUUCGGAUCGUAAAACUCUGUUAUUAGGGAAGAACAAAUGUGUAAGUAACUAUGCACGUCUUGACGGUACCUAAUCAGAAAGCCACGGCUAACUACGUG
rnacentral:rRNA from 1 species